UACGUAGGGCGCAAGCGUUGUCCGGAAUCAUUGGGCGUAAAGCGCGCGUAGGCGGCCAGAUAAGUCCGGUGUGAAAGUCACAGGCUCAACCUGUGAAUGCCGCUGGAAACUGUCUGGCUAGAGUCCGGAAGGGGCGAGUGGAAUUCCUGGUGUAGCGGUGAAAUGCGCAGAUAUCAGGAGGAACACCAAUGGCGAAGGCAGCUCGCUGGAACGGUACUGACGCUGAGGCGCGAAAGCGUGGGGAGCGAACAGG
rnacentral:rRNA from 1 species